rnacentral:rRNA from 1 species
GACAGAGGUGCCAAGCGUUAGGCGGAAUCACUGGGCUUAAAGCGUGUGUAGGCGGAAUGGUAAGUACCUUGUGAAAUCCCACGGCUCAACCGUGGAACUGCUUGGUAUACUGCUUUUCUUGAGCCACUUAGGGGCAACCGGAACAAACGGUGGAGCGGUGAAAUGCGUAGAUAUCGUUUGGAACGCCGAUGGUGAAAACAGGUCGCUGGGGUUGUGCUGACGCUGAGACACGAAAGCCAGGGGAGCGAACGGG